UUGGGGGAAUGUAUAAUCCUCUUAUGAGGCUAGUUGUGUUUUGAAUAAUAAAGGUUAUAAAAUAAACAUAACACCAACUACGUUGGAUAAAAUUCUAGAUAGAAUACUGAUUAUGACUAUUUUCUAUCUAUAUGUCUUGACCAAAUUACGUGCCAGCAGUCGCGGUAAUACGUAGAAGACUAGUGUUAUUCAUCUUUAAUAGGUUUAAAGGGUACCUAGACGGUAUUAUUAGCCCAAAACAGGGAAUUUUUUUUACUAGAGUUUGAUGUAAGAAGGGAGAAUUCAGGGAGUAGAGUUGAAAUUCUUUGAUACCCUGAGGACUGGUAAUGGCGAAAGCACCCUCCUAUGUAAUAACUGACGUUAAGGGACGAAGGCAUGGGGAGCGAACAGGAUUAGAUACCCUAGUAGUCCGUGCAGAUAAUUAUGAGUGCCAUAGACUAGAUAUAUUUUAGUUUAUAAAUGAAAGUGUAAGCAUUCCACCUCAAGAGUACUGUGGCAACGCUGGAACUGAAAUCAUUAGACCGUUUCUGAGAACAGUAGUGAAGUAUGUUAUAUAAUUCGAUAGUCCUCGUAAAACCUUACCACAACUUGAAUUGUGUCCUCUAAAUAUUAAUUCUUUAUUAUUACUCUGGCUAAUAUUACUUAUAACUUGGUUAUUAGUUGUAGUAGUAGUAUUUUUAUUUAUAAUUAUGAUGUUACAAGUGUUGCACGGUUGUCUUCAGCUAAUGUCGUGAGAUUUUGGUUAGUUCCAUAAAAUUAGCGUAAACCCCGGUUUUAUUUUUUAAUUAUUAUAAUAAAGCAGUUCGUCAACUAUAUCCGAUAUAUGAUAA
rnacentral:rRNA from 2 species